rnacentral:rRNA from 1 species
AUACGGAGGGUGCAAGCGUUAAUCGGAAUUACUGGGCGUAAAGCGCGCGUAGGCGGUUAUUUAAGUCAGAUGUGAAAUCCCUGAGCUCAACCUAGGAACUGCAUCUGAUACUGGGUAACUAGAGUUUUGGAGAGGUAAGUGGAAUUUCCGGUGUAGCGGUGAAAUGCAUAGAGAUCAGAAGGAACACCAGUGGCGAAGGCGACUUACUGGCCAAAAACUGACGCUGAGGUGCGAAAGCGUGGGUAGCAAACAGGAUUAGAAACCCUAGUAGUCC